AAGGCCUACCUAUCCCAAUUGGAUCAACAAGUUUAUUGCAGUGACGAGCUUAAAUUAUUUAAUAAUUGUAUGUGGGCGAAAAGAAAUUGAAUUUUAAAAUGUGUUUAAGUCUCUGUAAUAAGACCCGAAACAAAGUGAUCUAAUCAUGAACUGGUUGAAUUUAAAGCGGUAACGCUUACUGGAGU
rnacentral:rRNA from 12 species